CACUCACCUGCCCGCGGCUGCCUGGGAGCAGCGAGUACACCCUCCGGCAUCAUCUUGCCCCCUCGGCCCGGAAAGGUCGGAACUUGAUUGGCUAAAUGCACUUGUCGCUCAUGUACUCAAAGGCUCUACAAAAGGAAGGAUCUUCGAGCGAUCCAAGAUACCGCCUCCAGAAGAAAGUCUACGGUAUGAUUGGUGGAAAAACGCAUGAUAGCUUGAGAAACCUAUCAGCAGCGAAAGAAGGUGGGUACUUCCUCAGAGACUGUCCAAUCACAUAAGGGGCAGUUCUAUAAACGCUUAAGCUUCGGCAGCAGCCGGUCUUUUGGGAGUGAGCGAGUGUUGCAGGCUGGCGUUUUUGUGUCUGUCUGUGAGACACGUUUUUGCCGGCAUUGGUCGCCAAAUGGAAUUCGUAGGGCCGCUCAACUGCAGGCCAGCCUUUCCUCGACUGCUGCGGAAGUCUGGGCUCUGCGUUAGCCGUUUUGUUUAACGUAUCCCUUCAGUCUUCUGACUCCUGUUUUGGAGGGCAUGGUGAGUUGUGCUGCACGCCUUGACUUGCAUCCAGUCAACAAUGGGCAGAAGGAUUUGCUGGUAAGCUGGGCAUCUAUCUGAAUAAAAUUGAAAGUACAGUCUUA